GCAUAGCUCAGUUGGCAGAGCAGCUGACUCUUAAUCAGCGGGUCCGGGGUUCGAGUCCCCGUGC
rnacentral:tRNA from 1 species